rnacentral:rRNA from 1 species
UACGUAGGGUGCGAGCGUUAAUCGGAAUUACUGGGCGUAAAGGGUGCGCAGGCGGCCGCGCAAGUCGAGUGUGAAAUCCCCGGGCUCAACCUGGGAAUUGCGUUCGAAACUACGGGGCUAGAGUGUGGCAGAGGGAGGUGGAAUUCCACGUGUAGCGGUGAAAUGCGUAGAGAUGUGGAGGAACACCGAUGGCGAAGGCAGCCUCCUGGGUCAACACUGACGCUCAUGCACGAAAGCGUGGGGAGCAAACAGG